AAGCUUCGUGGUGUUUUACAUAUCAGAUUGCAAAUCUGAAGUAGCAGGCUAGUUACCUGCCGGGGCUU
rnacentral:tRNA from 2 species